UCCCUACGGGGGGCAGCAGUGGGGGAUAUUGCACAAUGGGGGAAACCCUGAUGCAGCGACACCGCGUGGGUGAAGAAGCGCUUCGGCGUGUAAAGCCCUAUCCGUGGGGAAGAAAAAGGACGGUACCCAAAGAAGAAGCACCGGCUAAAUACGUGCCAGCAGCCGCGGUAAUACGUAUGGUGCAAGCGUUAUCCGGAUUUACUGGGUGUAAAGGGAGCGCAGGCGGCACGGCAAGCCUGAUGUGAAAGCCCGCGGCCCAACCGCGGGACUGCAUUGGGAACUACCGGGCUGGAGUGCCGGAGCGG
rnacentral:rRNA from 1 species